rnacentral:rRNA from 1 species
UGGGGAAUUUUGCACAAUGGGGGAAACCCUGAUGCAGCGACGCCGCGUGAUUUAGAAGGCCUUCGGGUUGUAAAAAUCUUUUCUAUGGGAAGAAAAUGACAGUACCAUAGGAAUAAGGACCGGCUAAUUACGUACCAGCAGCCGCGGUAAUACGUAAGGUCCGAGCGUUGUCCGGAAUCAUUGGGCGUAAAGGGUACGUAGGCGGGUAAGCAAGUUAGAAGUGACAUCCUAUAGCUCAACUAUAGUAAGCUUUUAAAACUGCUCAUCUUGAGGUAUGGAAGGGAAAGUGGAAUUCCUAGUGUAGCGGUGAAAUGCGCAGAUAUUAGGAGGAAUACCGGUGGCGAAGGCGACUUUCUGGCCAUAACCUGACGCUGAGGUACGAAAGCGUGGGUAGCAAACAGG